rnacentral:misc_RNA from 1 species
AAAACUGUUUAGACCUGCGCUUAAUUGCGCGGUCUACAACAAUUUAUACACAAUGUUUUAUUUUUCUUUUAGAGGUUUCGAGUGACUUUGUCACUUGGAGCAACUAAAAGUCGUAACCAAAACUCUUCUGUUCAUUCAGGAAUGUAUUUUUUACUUUAAAGUCAAUUUUAAUUAAUAAAAAAAUUAAAACUUUCAGCAACGGAUCUCUUGGUUCUCGCAUCGAUGAAGAACGCAGCGAAUUGCGAUAAGUAAUGUGAAUUGCAGAUUUUCGUGAAUCAUCGAAUCUUUGAACGCAUAUUGCACUCUAUAGUAUUCUGUAGAGUAUGCUUGUUUGAGCGUCAUUUCUCUCUUAAAUCUUAGGAUUUAGUUAUGAAGGUUGUGUUAAAGCAAUUUAACUCCUUUGAAAUGACUUCGCGAUAGCUCAUCAAUUAAAGAUGUUUAGAAUUUGAUAUUAGGUUUUACCAACUAUUGAAUCUCUAGACUUUUCUUGUUUGAUUACAGCUCGCGUAACAAAAUUUACAUAAAUUUUGACCUCAAAUCAAGUAAGAAUACCCGCUGAACUUAAGCAUAUCAAU